CUUGCAACCAUUUACUAUUUCUGCCGAAUGCAUGUAAAGAAAACGAUAAUAACAUUGACUUUUUGCUUUCGAAAGAGCAAAAUUUAAAGAAAUACUCUGAAAUUUUGGAUUAGAGCGAAACGAAGCAACGUCUGGUGGUCAAGCUUUUUAAACAAAGUUAUACUUUACAAAGAAAACGGGUGUUACUUCUUGUUUUUAAUAAAUUUUGGUAUAUUGGCUACUUGUUUCCAUGGCGACAGUGAAAGACAUGAGCUGGCAACAGAGCAAAGCGGCAUAGUGUAAACACCCUUGAUUUUUUACUUCGGAGUAAAAAUUAAUCCGGUAUGAAA